UGGCUGUCGUCAGCUCGUGUCGUGAGAUGUUCGGUAAGUCCGGCAACGAGCGCAACCCACAUCCUUAGUUGCCAGCAGUUCGGCUGGGCACUCUAGGGAAACUGCCCGUGAUAAGCGGGAAGAAGUGUGGAUGACGUCAGUCCUCAUGGCCCUUACGGGUUGGGCUACCACGUGCUACAAUGGCAUCAUCAAUGGGU
rnacentral:rRNA from 1 species